UCUCCGUUGGUGAACCAGCGGAGGGAUCAUUAAAAAUUUGUGAAACAUGGCACUUUUUUAAAAAUACAUCUCCACCUUGUGUGCAACGUUCCGAGACCCUAUAUCGUUAUCUUUUAGGUCCCGGAACGGGGCACGUCUACCACCUCACAACAUCACAAUUCUCUUAUUUGUCUGGACAUUUUUUAUCACGUAUUAACUUAAUUAGAAAAUACAACUUUCAACAACGGUUCUUUUGGCUCUCGCAUCGAUGCAGAACGCAGCAGAUCGGAAGAGCACAAG
rnacentral:misc_RNA from 1 species